rnacentral:rRNA from 1 species
ACGGAAGGCAGCAGUGGGGGAUAUUGCACAAUGGGGGAAACCCUGAUGCAGCGACGCCGUGUGAGGGAAGAAGGUUUUCGGAUUGUAAACCUCUGUCUUUGGGGACGAUAAUGACGGUACCCAAGGAGAAAGCUCCGGCUAACUACGUGCCAGCAGCCGCGGUAAUACGUAGGGAGCAAGCGUUGUCCGGAAUUACUGGGUGUAAAGGGAGCGUAGGCGGGUUUGCAAGUUGAAUGUGAAAUCUAUGGGCUCAACCCAUAAACUGCGUUCAAAACUGCAGAUCUUGAGUGGAGUAGAGGCAGGCGGAAUUCCUAGUGUAGCGGUGAAAUGCGUAGAUAUUAGGAGGAACACCAGUGGCGAAGGCGGCCUGCUGGGCUCUAACUGACGCUGAGGCUCGAAAGCGUGGGUAGCAAACAGGAUUAGAUACCCUGGUA